CUGGAUCUCUUUGUGUUCUUAAGAAUGCCUUUGUUUCCUUUUGUCUGACUGUUCUUACAUGCUGUUGUCUGGUCCCUUUGGCAAAUUUAGAGACAAAGUUACAGAUUACCAUACUUCUAAGUAGAACCAUUUAGUUCUUGUGAGAUCACCCCAACCUAAAGUGUCCUUCUUCUGUGAAAACUUCUGCUCCCUCCACUAUGUUUCCUUAGCACAAAGCUAACUGUAUAAUGGUUUCUUACAGGAGAUUCUCACAAGGGACUGUGUGGACAUGCAGGGGUCAUUUUGUAAGUUUUGGACAUGAACACAAUUGUCUAUUGAACACGUAGCUCUAUGGAAAAGUGCACAGAGGCCAAAUAACAAUUUGUGGAGUUGGUUCUCUCCUUUCAUCUUUACAUGGGUUCCAGGGAUCAAACUCAUGACACCAGUCUUGUACUGCAAGAACCUUUGUCCACUCU
rnacentral:lncRNA from 1 species